AGGCCAUAUCACAAUGAAACACCGAUACUCGUACGAUCACCGAAGUAAAGUAACGUUGAGCCUGGACAGUAUCUAGAUGGGUAACCGCUGUGGAAUACCAGGUGCUGUAAG